rnacentral:miRNA from 1 species
UCGAGUACAGCAACCCGUCCCCAGUUUAUUGGAUAACAGGACGGAUUGUUGUACUUGG